GGGAAAGUGACGGUGGGGAAGCCGUCUUGCUAUAUUCCAAAACACCUCUCUCACUCUUUAAAAACCCAAUCAUACACAGAAGAAGAAUAAUUCGAAUUGCAGUCCUCUCUCUUGCAGGCUUCUCCAAAUGUUACAUUUCUCUUUCUCUCAUAUGCUUUAUUUCCUUUUUCUUUCUUUUAUUUAUAUUAGUCUCUCUCUAGUCCCCGUGUAAUGGUAGUUUAGCUCCUCCUCCCAUGUAUCCUUUUUAUGUAUUCCACCACCAC
rnacentral:misc_RNA from 1 species